rnacentral:rRNA from 1 species
UACGGGGGGGGCAAGCGUUGUUCGGAAUUACUGGGCGUAAAGGGCUCGUAGGCGGCCAACUAAGUCAUACGUGAAAUCCCUCGGCUUAAUCGGGGAACUGCGUCUGAUACUGGAUGGCUUGAGUUCGGGAGAGGGAUGCGGAAUUCCAGGUGUAGCGGUGAAAUGCGUAGAUAUCUGGAGGAACACCGGUGGCGAAGGCGGCAUCCUGGACCGAUACUGACGCUGAGGAGCGAAAGCCAGGGGAGCAAACGGG